rnacentral:sRNA from 1 species
AUGCUUAUGGUUAAAAUUGUGCAAGCCUGCUUAGCUGUUCUAGUUGAAAUUGAAAUUGUAAGACAAAUAUAUGAACCAAAUUCUGAAGAUAGGAAAUCCAGAUAGUUUGAUAUCACAGUUAUGUGAUUCUUUCGCCACCCAAUGCAUGAUUUAUAUGAACCAAAUUCUGAAGAUAGGAAAUCCCAAUUUGUGUGAUUUAAAGGUGAUACUUAGCUUGAAAAUGAUUGCCUCUUUUACAGCAAACAAGUGAUUAUUGAAAAGGUAAAACUAAAUUGUGUCACUUUUUGAAACUUCUGGCCAGCAUCUGAGGGCCAACCCCAAGAGAUUCCAUGUAAUUACCUGGUAUGUGUGGGACCAAGGGCUACAAAUACCCGAUAGAAUAGUUAAAUACUCAAAGAGCUCUAGAUAAUCACGUUAGCAAAAAAAAAAAAAAAAAAACAAAACAAAACAAAAAACAAAAAAUUGUCACUUUUUGAGGGCUGUGUUUGCUUAUUGUCUGAAUUCCUUCAAUGAGAAGGUAAGAUGUAUCACCUUUUGAGGCCAUGAUUCCCAUAAUAUACGACUUAUUCCUUGCUGCAUUUUUAAGCUAUGGCUGCUGAUGAAACAUAUCAAAUUAACUUUAGUAAGAGCCAUUGGCACAAUCAAUAUCCAUAGCUCAUGCAUCAUGUCUCCCACCAUUUUAGUCCAUAGCUCUAGGAGAGAUUAUCGGGUAAUGGGAUAACUCAUCUGAUUAUUACCAUGUAGAAGUUUGGGAUUUAGUGAGACUCAACUGUCUUCUUGUCAAAGUCAAUUCCCCUUUUCAAACGAAUUUAUUAGGUGACAUCUAAGUAGGUUUGUUUGUUUGUUUGUUUUUUUUUUUUUUUUUUUAAUUAUAAUUGUCAUUUUAGUUUUAUAAAUUUUUUGUUGGAAAGUACGCAAAUACGAAAAAAAAAAAAAAAAAAAAAGACAGAGAAGAAGAAGUAGCAAGAUUUCAUUGAUAUAGUUCAAUCAAAAGUUGUGCCACUAUAGUACGCUUCCAGUUUAUUUGAUUGGUUUUUCUAAUAAAAUUUCUUACGUUACUUAUCGAAAAAAAAAAAAAGAAAAAAAGAAAAAAAGAAGAUUUCAUUGAUAUAGUUGUGUAUCAUCACCAUAAUUGUUGUUGUUAUCAUCACCCUUCUCGUUAUUGCUUCAGAGCAGGGAGGCAUCGUCCUUGGCUUCAUCUAAAGAUUUGGAGAUUACUCGUGAUCAAUCUCAACCAGAGUCUGGUGUCCAGCCAGAUCUGUUUGAAGAGAACUUCAAAGAAUUAAAGAAAUGGGUUGAUUUGAAGUCGUGUAUAUAUGGCACCCUCCUAGUGCUACGUGAGAGACGUAGUGGAAGGCUUGGAACAGCAUUGGAGGUAUUUUUCUUCCAUCAUUCAUGUUCAUCUAUUGUCUGACAAUCAUGGAAUUUUAUAUUUCACGUUUACAUAUAUAUAUUUAUGUUUGUUGAGUGGCUGGAACUUAGAGUUAGAUGCCUAUGUUCAGUUCUAUGUUUUUCAGGUGGGCAUGUUGAUUUGCUCUAUAGUUUGUAACAGUGUAGUUUGUCUCAUUAAACAUUUUUAGGAUAAGAAAAAUCCACUCCCAGCACUAGGGGGUGGGGUGGGGUGGGGUGGGGUGGGGAAAGCACUCUAUCAGAAAUAACAAAAACUAUAUUUACUUGUUGAGUUGAGAUUAUAAUUGUAUUCUAUGUCUAUGAAGUGUUACCCUGCAGAAAUACCUUCAUCCUUGUACUAGAGUAGUAUAUUCCAAUUGUUUUUCAACUUAAGAAUUCUGAAAUGAUACAGAAUGCUUUUCCAUGCCUAUAUAACUUUGGGGGUCCAGCAUCAUAAUAUUAUAUUUUUUGUAAUAAAGUAUUUUCUCUGUCCAUCCUUUAAUCAAAAUGAUGUAAAUGUUCAUAUGAUUGACAAAUUACAAAACUUUUCAGAUUGGUAAUAUUUUCAAGCAACUGCUGAUUUCACAAAAUUUUCUUCAAAUAAUGGAUAAUACCUGUUUCUAUAAUGAGACAUGUGCAACCCCAUAGACCAUAGUUGUUUGUUAAUCUAUCAUAUUGCAUCUGCUUUGCUGGAUAUGACGUCCAACACGAAAAGAAAAACAUAAAAUUUGAAGAUUUUAACUUAUGAAUUGAUCAUUUGUCUAAAUUAAACCUAUUACUGGAGUAGGCAUUGAAUGACAUAAUUCAAGAUGAUGGGGAACCUCCAAAGAAGAAGCUCUAUGAACUAAAGCUCUCUUUGCUUGAUGAGAUUGGAUGGUGUCAUUUGGCAACAUAUGAGAGACAAUGGAUGCACGUGCGAUUUCCAGCCAGCUUGCCACUUUUCUAAAAGGUUGCUCAAUUUCAGAUCAGGUGUCUUGUAUUGAAUAAGUACCCUAUAGGCCCAUUCGAAUAAUUUACUCCUGUACAAACAGUUCUUUUAGAAAUAACAUGUCCAUUCUCUGUACUUUUUUCUUUUCAAUUGCAUUUGGAUGGUAUAUAUAAAUUAUUUAAACAUGUUUUGGUUGGAGGGAUAUUAAAGUGACAACUCACGAAUAAAAAAGAAAGAGCCCUUUGUUGGAAUUCUUCAUUCUAAGAUCAGCCCUUCAAUUCUGAAACCAAAAUUACUUGAUUUAGUAUAUACAUUGAGUCACUAGCAUUCAAGAUUUCACAAGUACAAGCUGGUGUGUGAGUCACAAAGUUGUAUUUAGUGCAUUUGUAAGUCAACUUACGAAGCCAAAUACAAAAAAUAACAAAGACAAAAAUGAAAGUCUUGAAGUUGAACUACAUACAUAUAUACAUGCAUCCAAUGAGUGCGUUUCAUGCAAUUGAAUGUCAUGUGAUGUGCCUAAUAAAGAUCCUAAUUUAGCGUUUAUUAGGCUCUUUACUAUUCUAUAGUCUGUACCCCACGGGAUUGGUGAUUCCUUAAACUUGUGAUUUUGCAAUAGUGGAAUCUUGUGUUCAAUUGCCUAUACUGGUAUGGUGGUAUCCAACUUUUCAUAUCAUUAAACUCAGGACUUUCCCAGCGUUGCUGAUUGUGAUUGGAUUCCUUCCUAAAGUUUAUGCUAUUCCAUUUUGGGCUGGUUGAAAUGCAUGUGAUGCUACUGCCUUUCAGCAAGGAAUACCUUGCCUCGCUGUGCUGUGUAGCAAAUUAGCAAUCAUGAAGCUCUUCUUGUUCAAGCUUAUUGGGCUAACGUUAUCCAAUAUGAUUGACCCUCGUGUUUAGGUUAGGUAUUUUCUUCCCCUUACCUUGCUUAAAAAAUAAACCAAGUAAAAGUACAGAUCUUUAAAAAAAAGUUUUAGGAAACUGCAAAUAAUUAAGUCUUAAAAAAAAAGGAAAAAAAAAAAGAAAAAGAAAAAGAAAGAAAGACACACUAGCACAAAGUUUGACAUUUCAUCAAAAUGGAGGGAAAAGAGCUGUAAGGGGGCUUAAAGCUAGUAGGAGCAUUUAGCAAAAAUUAUCACUUGCUUGAUAAUUUCACUAACAGGUUUUUUCUCUCUUUUAAGUUUACCUUUAAGCUAAAGUUGGGAAUUCCAGAUUCUACAUUAAAAAUGUAAAGGAGAGAGAGAGAGAGGGAGUUCCUCUUCCUCCUACUAAUACUAAUAGUAAAAUAAAAAUUGGUUAAUAAAGUAAAUUGGACUCAAAAUAUGAAUAUACAAAGCACUUAUAUAAUUCCUAUCAAAAUUUUUUUUUUUUUUUUUUAUUUUUUUUAUAUAUAAUUUUAUAGUUGAGAAAGUAAUAUUUGAAUCUUAGACAUUUCCAUUAAAAACAAUAUUAAAGAAGUGCUAAUUGAGCUACAACUUUAAUAACUUUCCAAAUUACCUCUCGUUUAGGAUCAGUUUCGUCAUCUUUGGAUUCGAUGCAAGGAUCCCAUCCAACAUUGGUCUACAGACCUAGUAGGGAUGAUGAUUGUUCAGCCACCAUUGCAAAUGCCUUCGGUUAUUCUUAUAUUUGUUGUGUAGUUACUUCUUGACUUUCUACUAAUUAGCUGGCAGCUUGGCCCAUUGGGCUCUUUCUUUAAAUUUUGUUGGAUCUAUUAUCAAUUUGUCUAUAAAUAAUUUUGCUUUUCUUAAUUUAAAAAAAAAUAAUAAUAAGAAAAAAAAAAUCAAAAAAAGGAAAGGAGAAUAAUUUGACCUGUUUGUGGCAGCAUGGUUUGCGCAGCUAAGCAGCUUGCACAACUUUGUCAAUUUGAAAGGCUACACAUUUUUUUUUUUUUCAGAAACAAAGGCUACAAAUUUUUUUUUUUUUUUUUUAGGAACAAGUAAGUGAAUUUUAUUAAGCUAAAUCUACAUUGAAUACAUCAUCCAAAUCCAAUGGUAGUUCUUCUACCCAUACAUCGGUAUCUGCAGAUACAACUGCUCGUCUAACUAAGGUGUGUGCCAAUCUGUUACCCUCUCUUCUUACAUGUUGGAAGCUACAAGUCCUUAAAAAAGAACUGAAACUCCAUAUUUCCUCGAUAAUAUGAUCAAACAAAGUAUGACAAGGCUCCUUUGUGUUAAUAGCUUUUAUUAUCCGUAAGCAAUCUCCUUCAAAUAUUACUUUGAAUAAGCUGAGCUCCUUUGCAAAAGCCACAGCCCGAGACGCCGCAAAUGCCUCUGCAUGUUCUAUUGAUUGAGGCAAAGCUAUUUUCUGACUCAGAGCACCUAUAAUAUUUCCAUUGUAGUCUCUAAUCAACACUCUUAUACCUGCCAUAUUACUACUAUCAAAGAGAGCUGCAUCAAAAUUGGCUUUCUAAAAAUCCUAUGGAGGCUUUGUCCAUCGCACCUGGGGGCGUUGCAACGCUGGCCUAGGGGGUUGUUUGUGGAUGUUUCCACCACUAAUUCCUUCGCUUUCCUGUAGAUGUCAUAUAAAGGCCACGAAGGUUGUCGCACUCGAAUCUUAUUCUGUUGCUGCCAUAAGCUCUAAGCUAUGGUUGAAAACAGAGCAACUGUGAAGGCUGAUCCGUGAUCAAGUACAGCUUCAAGGAGAUCAAAAGAGGACUGAUACCCAGUCUGGUACAAAUGUGAGAAGCUUGGGACGGACUUCCAUACAACCUUGGCUUGGUCGCACAACCAUAACACAUGCAUGACCGAUUCUUGCUGCUUAUCGCAUAGUGAACACAUUUCAUCUAAGGUGAUUUUCCGUCGUGCUAGAUUUUAUUUUGAAGGUAGAGAAUCCCUUGCUGCUCUCCAUAUAAAAUGCCUAACUUUUGGGGGCGCUCUAAUCUUCAAAAUACUCCUCCACACCUUUGAAUUUUCCCCAUUUGAUGAUGAUGGAGCUUCAUUGAUCACCUCUGUUGCAAGCAUCUGAUAUGAGGACUUGACUGAUCGACUACAACAAAAUGUAUUUUUAGUGAUGAAAAUUAGUGAGGAAAUAUUUUUCGUCACUAAAAAUACAGUUUUAGUGACGAAAUAUGAAUUUCAUCACUAUUGUGAUCUGAAAAAUAAGCGCCAAUAGAGGGAAACUUUGGCGCCAACUUAAUUAAUCUAUAGUGACGAAAUAUUUCGUCACUAAAAGUUGAAAGUUUUAGUGACGAAAUAUUUCGUCACUGUAGGUAUUGCUAUGGAUAGUUUUAGUGACGAAAAUACUUUCGUCACUAUAAGUAAGAAUUAGUAAUGAAAAAUAGUCGUCACUAAAAAAAAUAAAGGUUUUGGACUUAUAUGUUUUUAGUGACGAAAUCACAUUUCGUCACUAAAAGUAUGCUUUAGUGACGAAAUUUGAAUUUCGUCACUAAAAACAAUAAUAGUAUUAUCCUUAUAUGUUUUUAGCGACGAAAUCAUAUUUCGUCACUAAAAGUAUGCUUUAGUGAGGAAAUAUGAAUUUCGUCUCUAAAGCUGGGGUUCUUUAGUGACGAAACUGACAUUCGUCACUAAAAAACAUAAAAAAAAAAACACCUUUAACCUCAGCCUUUUAUUUUCCAAUUCCUUCAUAACACAUUAUACAUUUUACCUUCACAAAAACCUUUAGACCCAUUCCUUCAGACCCAUUCACCGUCUCAAAAGAAAUCGUCGUCGUCACCGAUUCAGCGACACACCGGCGACGAUCCCACAUCAAGGAAGAAGAAGGCAUUGUGACAACGGCGACAAUCCAAGCGUCGCGACGCGCCGGCGACGUUCCAGGCGUCGUGCUCAGCGUCGUGACACCGGCGACGAUCCAAGCGUCGUGCUCAGCGUUGCGACACACCGGUGACGAUCCAAAGCGUCGCUGCUAA